rnacentral:rRNA from 1 species
GUUGUAUAGUCAAGUAAUUAAGUGCAUGUGGUGGAUGCCUUGGCAGUCAGAGGCGAUGAAAGACGUGAUAGCCUGCGAAAAGCUCCGGGGAGGCGGCAAAUAUCCUUUGAUCCGGAGAUGUCUGAAUGGGGGAACCCACCUACUUUAAGGUAGGUAUUGCAACAUGAAUACAUAGUGUUGCAAGGCGAACGAGGGGAAGUGAAACAUCUCAGUACCCUUAGGAAAAGAAAUCAAUUGAGAUUCCCUCAGUAGCGGCGAGCGAACGGGGAUCAGCCCAUUAAGUUAUGUGUGUUUUAGUGGAACGCUCUGGGAAGUGCGAACGUAGAGGGUGAUAUUCCCGUACACGAAAGGGCACACAUAAUGAUGACAAUUAGGGCGAGGCACGUGAAACCUUGUGUCUGGAAUAUGGGGACCAUCCUCCAGGCUAAAUACUCUGACUGACCGAUAGUGAACCAGUACCGUGAGGAAAGGCGAAGAACCCCUGAGAGGGUGAAAUAGAUCCUGAAACCGCAUGCAUACAAGCAGUGGGAGCACAUUCGUGAUGACUGCGUGUACCUUUUGUAUAAUGGGUCAGCGACUUAUAUUCAGUAGCGGGUUAACCGUAUGGGGGCCGUAGAAAUCGAGUCUUAAUAGGGCGUUUAGUUGCUGGGUAUAGACCCAGAGAACCAGGCGAUCCAUGGCAGGCAGGUUGAAGGUUGGGUAACACUAACUGGAGGACCGAACCCACUGUCGUUGAAAAGCCAGGGGAUGACUUGUGGAUAGGGGUGAAAGGCUAAUCAAGCCUGGUGAUAGCUGGUUCUCCCCGAAAGCUAUUUAGGUAGCGCCUCGGACGAAUACCAUAGGGGGUAGAGCACUGUUUCGGCUAGGGGGUCAUCCCGACUUACCAAACCGAUGCAAACUCCGAUACCUGUAGAGUACUAUCCGGGAGACAGACUGCGGGGUGCUAGCGUCCGUAGUCAAGAGGAAAACAAUCGAACCGCCAGCUGGGCCCCAAAAAAUCAUAGUUAAGUGAACGUGUGGGAAGGCAUAGACAGCUGGUGGCAGAAGCAACCACCCUUUAAAAGCGUAAUAGCUCACCCCUGGUCGAGUCGGCCUGCGGAAAUAUGGCAGGGCUAAAACUAUGGCGAAGCUGCGGAUGUAUGCUGUAUGCGUGGUAGGGGAAUUCUGUAAGCCGAUGAAGGUGUGUUGAGAAGCAUGCUGGAGGUAUCAGAAGUGCGAAUGCUGACGUGAGUAACGACAAAACGGGUGAAAAACCCGUUCGCCGAAAGACCAAGGGUUCCAGUCCAACGUUAAUCGGGGCUGGGUGAGUCGACCCCUAAGGCGAGGCCGAAAGGCGUAGUCGAUGGGAAAAUGGUUAUUCCAUUACUUCUGUGUAAUGCGAUGAGGAGGACGGAGAAGAGCUAAAUCAGCCUGGCGUUGGUUGUCCAGGUGAAAGGAUGUGAGCAUGCUUAGGCAAAUCCGGGGUACUCUAUGCACUGAGAUCUGAUAGCAAGCUGUACUUGUACAGCGAAAGUGGAUUGAUGCCAUGCUUCCAGGAAAGAAUCUCUAGCUUCAGUUACACAGGAAUCGUGCCCGAAACCGACACAGGUGGUCAGGUCAGAGUAAGACCAAGGCGCUUGAGAGAACUCUGCUGGAAGGAACUAGGCAAAUGGUGCCAUAACUUCGGGAGAAGGCGCUGUUGUUGAAUGAUGGAACUCGCUUCCUGGGCGGCGACAGCCGCAGAAACCAGGCCGCUGCAACUGUUUAUUAAAACCGUAACCUCACCUGAAACACGAAAGUGGACGUAUUAUAGGUGUGACCCUGCGUGAGGUUAGUGAUGGGGUAGCGUAAGCGAAGCUGUGAUCGAGCCCCAGUAAACGGCGGCCGUAACUAUAACGGUCUAAAGGUAGCGAAAUUCCUUGUCGGUAAGUUCCGACCUGCACGAAUGGCAUAAUGAUGGCGGCGCUGUCUCCAACAGAGCUCAGUGAAAUCGAAAUCGCUGUGAAGAUGCAGUGUACCGCGGCUGAACGGAAAAGACCGUGAACCUUUACUGCAGCUUGACACUGAACUUUGACCUUACUUGUGUGUAGGAUAGGUGGGAGGGCUUUGGGGAGAGCUGGAGUGGAUUUCCAGUGGAGCCGUCAUGAAAUACCACCCUGUUGAGUUCUAACUCUGUCCGUGAUCCGGGACCGGGACAUCAAUCAUAGUGGGUAGUUUGACUGGGGCGGUCUCCUCCUGGGUAACGGAGGAGUACGAAGGUGCGCUCAGCGUGGUCGGAAAUCACGCGUAGAGUAUAAAGGCAAAAGCGCGCUUAACUGCGAGACCCACAAGUCGAGCAGGUACGAAAGUAGUCUUAGUGAUCCGGUGGUUCUGUAUGGAAGGGGCCAUCGCUCAGCUUGGAUAAAAGGUACUCUGGGGAUAACAGGCUGAUACGCGAGGUUCUAUCGACGGCAUUGGUGCUUUCGAUAUCAGCUCAUCUCGUCCUGAGGCUGAAGCAGGUCCAAGGGUAUGGCUGUUCGCCAUUUAAAGAGGUACAUGAGCUGGGUUUAGAACGUCAUUGAGACAGUUCGGUCCCUAAUAUCUACCGUGGUAUGAAAUUUGAGAGGAUCUGCUCUAGUACGAAGAGGACCAGUGGACAAACCUCUGUGGUGUACCGGUUGUGACCGCCAGUCGCAUCGCGGGUAGCUAUGUUCGGAAAGGGGAUAACCACGCUGAAAGCAUCUAAGCGGGAAGCCUACCUCCAAGAUAAAGAUUUCCCUAGGACUUUAUGUCCUCUAAAGAAUAGUUCAGAUUCUAGGACGUUGAUAGGUUGGAUGUGGAAGCAUAGUGAUAUGUGAAGCUGACCAAUACUAAUUGCUCGUGAGGCUUGACUAUACAACACCCAAGCAGUUG